rnacentral:miRNA from 1 species
UGUUGCCCAGGCUGGAGUGCCAUUGAAAUUUAGAAAUUUUGCCAUUACUUUUAAUGGCAAAAACUGCAGUUACUUUUGCACCAACCUAAUACU